rnacentral:rRNA from 1 species
AACAUCGGGAAACUGAUGCUAAUACCGCAGAUGUCAUUUCAUUGAUUUUGAUUUGACUGAAGGGGGGGCUCCUUUUGGACCUUCCGCUGAUAGAUUGGUCCGCGUCCCAUUAGCUAGUUGGUGGGGUAAAGGCCUACCAAGGCGACGAUGGGUAGCCGGCCUGAGAGGGUGUCCGGCCACACUGGGAUUGAGAUACGGCCCAGACUCCUUCGGGAGGCAGCAGUCGAGAAUCUUCCACAAUGUACGAAAGUAUGAUGGAGCGACGCCGCGUGUGUGAUGAAGGCUCAACGAGUUGUAAAGCACUGUCAGGGGGGAAGAAUCAGCGCAUAACUAAUAAAUAUGCGCUCUGACGUACCCCCAGAGGAAGCUCCGGCUAACUCCGUGCCAGCAGCCGCGGUAAUACGGAGGGAGCAAGCGUUGUCCGGAAUUAUUGGGCGUAAAGGGCACGCAGGCGGUUCGGUAAGUCGAAUGUGAAAUCUUACAGCUUAACUGUAAAACUGCGUUCGAAACUACCGAACUUGAGUACUGGAGAGGUAUGCGGAAUUCCUGGUGGAGCGGUGGAAUGCGUGGAUAUCAGGAAGAACACCGGUGGCGAAGGCGGCAUACUGGCCAAGGACUGACGCUCAGGUGCGAAAGCGUGGGGAGCAAACGGGAUUAGAUACCCCGGUAGUCCACGCUGUAAACGAUGGGUACUAGGUUUUGGAGGUUCUCAACCCCUUCAGAGCCGCAGCUAACGCAUUAAGUACCCCGUCUGGGGAAUACGGUCGCAAGGCUGAAACUCAAAGGAAUUGACGGGGGCCCGCACAAGCGGUGGAGCAUGUGUUUUAAUUCGAAGCAACGCGAAGAACCUUACCAGGGUAUGACAUGUGAGCUUCGACCUUCGGGAAGAGGUUAAUCCUGUGAAAGCAGGACGAAUCACACAGGUGUUGCAUGGCUGUCGUCAGCUCGUGUCGUGAGAUGUUGGGUUAAGUCCCGCAACGAGCGCAACCCUUGCUGUUAGUUACCAUCGGGUAAUGCCGGGGACUCUAGCAGGACUGCCGGUGAUAAACCGGAGGAAGGUGGGGAUGAUGUCAAGUCAUUAUGACCCUUUACACCCUGGGCUAACCACGUGCUACAAUGGUCGGUACAAAGGGGAUCGAUACCGCGAGGUGGAGCAAAUCCCAAAAAGCCGGCCUCAGUACGGAUUGCAGUCUGCAACUCGACUGCAUGAAGCUGGAAUCGCUAGUAAUCGUGGAUCAGCAUGCCACGGUGAAUACGUUCCCGGGCCU